UUCACGUCUACAUACCUAUUCACUCGAAACAAUUUGUGGUAAUACCUAAAAUGGAUUUUUUUUUUAUUCGCUACCUAUGAAUGAUGGAAAAUGAAUUUGCAUGCUCAUUUCAGAAUGUAUAAGUACCUAGUUGGUCAGCUGUGUUUAAGAUCAUUCUUACUAUUUAUUAUAAAUUAAUUACCAACGUUUUGAAAUUUCAAAAAUAAAAACAAAAUGAAAGUAACCAUCAUCGUAAUCCUGGUGGGGUUAACGGUCUACUUUUCCAUGAUAUCCGCGCAAGAAGAAAAUGCUGAAAAAUCAGAAUCAGUUUCAUCAAAAUCCGAUCCAGAUACCGAACCAUCGAACCCACCACCGCCACCGGUACCACCGAAACUGUCAACUCAGCAAGGCUCAGGCUCUGAAAAGAAAAACGCCGGCUCGUUGGGGAGGCCUAUUAGACUGAUUCCUACAGGCAUGAGAGGAUAGAAGAAUAAAAAUAUCUGAUUCAAAAAACAUCCAUUAAAGCAUUUUUGAUUCAAAAACCAUCUGUGCUAAAAGUGCCACCAAUCAUAUAAAUUUUCAUCAUUAUAGUUCCAGUUUUGGCAGGGGCUCUUGUUUUUCAAUAAAAGUUACAUCGAGUGUCGUUUUUGGGCUCCGGUGAUCUGCUGGGGGUAAAAAUUAGGCUUACUAUAAGGCCCAUUAUGUCUGACGAAGCUUCAGAAAGUUCGAGAGGAAAAUGCUGACAAAUAAGUUUGUAAAACUUUAUACUUAUUUAUAAUUUGGUUCUUUCCAGUGUUCAUACAGGAAAUUCUAGUACUACCUAGAACAAGAAUAUGAUCAGAACUUAUAACAACAAGCUCCCCUACGAGAAGUCUUCGUCAGACAAAAAAAAAUACAUGCAAAUCUGCUCCUUAAUCAUGACUUGCAUAAACAUAAUAAAAUAAUUUUAAAAAGUAACAUGAUUUAUGUAUUUGUCAAAAUUGAGAAAUUCGCAAUUUGAACAUUUGGAAAACAACUAAGAGUACGUGAGCAUAGGUAUCUUCGGUUAUGAAACUUUUGAAAAAAAUUCACCAUAAUAACUCAUGUUUCGCAAUUUUUUGUCAACAUAUCCACUCGCAACAAUUCGUGGUAGGCACCCAAAAUGGAUUUUUUUUUCUUUAUUCGAUGCCUAUAAAUAAUGGAAAAUGAGUUGGCAUGCUCAUUUCAGAAUAAAUAAGUAGUUGGUCAGCUGUGUUGAAGAUCAUUCUUUCUACUUAUAUUAAUUAAUAUUACCUACGGUUUUAAAUUUCAAAAAUAUAAACAAAAUGAAAGUAACCAUCAUCGUAUUCCUGGUGGCAUUAACGGUCUACGUUUCCACGAUAAAUGCGCAAGAAGAAAACGAUGCACCAGAAAGUUCUGAAGAACCAGAAUCAGAAUCAGAAGCUUAUCUGCCACCGUCACCACCGGCUGGUUCAGGCUCCAAAAAAGGAAAAGACGGUUUCUUUAGAGGCACAUUAGGCGGAUUGGGCGGCGGAGUGGACGGACUCUUCAACAGGGGAAGAAAAAACAAUACAAAUUCUCGAUCCAAAAAACCUCCAACUCCAUCAUAGCAUUUUUGAUGCAGAAAACCGCCUGUGCCAAAAAAUGCCACCAAUCAUAAAAAUUUUCUAUAAUUUUACAACAUUGUGGUGCCGUUUUUGGCAGUGGCUCUUUUUUUCAAUAAAAAUUACAUUUCGUGUCGUUU